rnacentral:pre_miRNA from 1 species
AGGGUGUGUUUGGGUGGGAGGUGUGGUAGCUUUUUUUUUAAGGUACCAUCCUCUUAAAGCACAUACCACAUUUUCUAAAAGCAAAAAAUACAUGCUUUUUAGUAAGAGGUGUGGUAGCUUUUUGAAAAAAAACAACCACACCUCCCACCCAAACACCCUCUA